rnacentral:rRNA from 1 species
CCUACGGGCGGCAGCAGUGGGGAAUAUUGGGCAAUGGAGGCAACUCUGACCCAGCAACGCCGCGUGAAUGAUGAAGGUCUUCGGAUUGUAAAGUUCUGUGAUGGGGGAUGAACACAAUGACGGUACCCCAAUAGUAAGCCACGGCUAACUACGUGCCAGCAGCCGCGGCAAUACGUAGGUGGCAAUCGUUAUCCGGAAUGACUGGGCGUAAAGGGUGCGUAGGUGGGUUAGUAAGUUGGCGGUGAAAUUCCGGGGCUCAACCUCUGCGCUACCGCCAAAACUAGUAGACUUGAGUGCAGGAGGGGUAAGUGGAAUUCGUAGUGUAGCGGUGGAAUGCGUAGAUAUUAGGAGGAACAUCGAGGGCGAAGGCGACUUACUGGACUGUAACUGACACUGAGGCACGAAAGCGUGGGGAGCAAACAGGAUUAGAUACCCUGGUAGUC